ACGCGUGAGAAUCUACCUUCUAGAUGGGGACAACCGUUGGAAACGACGGCUAAUCCCCAAUAAGCCGAGAGGUGAAACGGGUAUCCGCUAGAAGAGGAGCUCGCGUCCGAUUAGUUAGUUGGUGGGGUAAGAGCCUACCAAGGCAGCGAUCGGUAGCUGGUCUGAGAGGAUGAGCAGCCACACUGGGACUGAGACACGGCCCAGACUCCUACGGGAGGCAGCAGUGGGGAAUUUUCCGCAAUGGGCGAAAGCCUGACGGAGCAACGCCGCGUGUGGGAAGAAGGCUCUUGGGCUGUCAACCACUUUUCUCAGGGAAGAAGUCCUGACGGUACCAGAGGAAUCAGCCUCGGCUAACUCCGUGCCAGCAGCCGCGGUAAUACGGAGGAGGCAAGCGUUAUCCGGAAUUAUUGGGCGUAAAGCGUCCGCAGGGGGCGCAUCAAGUCUGCUGUUAAAGGUCGGAGCUAAACUCCGGUAGAGCAGUGGAAACUGGUGCGCUAGAGGGCGACAGGGGUAGAGGGAAUUCCCAGUGUAGCGGUGAAAUGCGUAGAGAUUGGGAAGAACACCGGUGGCGAAAGCGCUCUACUGGGUCGCACCUGACUCUCAGGGACGAAAGCUAAGGUAGCGAAAGGGAUUAGAUACCCCUGUAGUCUUAGCCGUAAACGAUGGAUACUAGGCGUGGUUUGUAUCGACCCAAGCCGUGCCGAAGCUAACGCGUUAAGUAUCCCGCCUGGGGAGUACGCACGCAAGUGUGAAACUCAAAGGAAUUGACGGGGGCCCGCACAAGCGGUGGAGGAUGUGGUUUAAUUCGAUGCAACGCGAAGAACCUUACCAGGGCUUGACAUCCCGCGAAUCUCUCGGAAAGGAGAGAGUGCCUACGGGAACGCGGAGACAGGUGGUGCAUGGCUGUCGUCAGCUCGUGUCGUGAGAUGUUGGGUUAA
rnacentral:rRNA from 1 species